GUGCUCACUUUGGCAGCGCAUGUACUAAAACUGGAGCAAUACAGAGAAGAUUAAGAUGGCUCCUGUGCAAGGAUGACUCGCAAAUUUGUGAAGCAUUCCAUUAAAAA
ensembl:snRNA U6 U6 spliceosomal RNA